ensembl:misc_RNA Y_RNA Y RNA
GGCUGGUUCAUAAGGUAGUGAGUUAUCUCAUAUGAUUGUUCCCAGUCAGUGACAGAUCGACCUUGUUCUAUUCUUUCCCCACUUCUCAUUACUGCACUUAACUAGUCUUAA